rnacentral:rRNA from 1 species
UACGUAGGGGGCAAGCGGUGUCCGGAUUUACUGGGUGUAAAGGGCGCGCGGGCGGGUUUGUAAGUCGGUGGUGAAAGCCUGUGGCUUAACUGCAGAACUGCCAUUGAUACUGCAAAUCUUGAGUGCGGAAGAGAGAGACGGAAUUCCAGGUGUAGUGGUGAAAUACGUAGAUAUCUGGAAGAACACCAGUUGCGAAGGCGGUCUCUUGGUUCGUAACUGACGCUGAGGCGCGAAAGCGUGGGUAGCAAACAGG